AUUUAAAUAGUUUAAUAAAAAUAUUGAUUUGUGGUGUCAAUGAUAUGAAAUAUUUCAUUUUAGAUC
rnacentral:tRNA from 1 species